AACGAACGCUGGCGGCAUGCCUAAUACAUGCAAGUCGAACGAACGUAGCAAUACGUGAGUGGCGGACGGGUGAGUAACACGUGGGAACCUGCCCAGCGGUGGGGAACAACCGAGGGAAACUUCGGCUAAUACCGCAUACGCCCUUACGGGGAAAGACUUAUCGCCGUUGGAGGGGCCCGCGUCCGAUUAGCUAGUUGGUGAGGUAACGGCUCACCAAGGCGACGAUCGGUAACUGGUCUGAGAGGACGACCAGUCACACUGGGACUGAGACACGGCCCAGACUCCUACGGGAGGCAGCAGUAGGGAAUAUUGGACAAUGGGGGAAACCCUGAUCCAGCAAUGCCGCGUGAGUGAUGAAGGCCUUAGGGUUGUAAAGCUCUUUCGCCCACGACGAUGAUGACGGUAGUGGGAGAAGAAGCCCCGGCUAACUUCGUGCCAGCAGCCGCAGUAA
rnacentral:rRNA from 1 species